CGGGAUUUUGGGGGCGAGAUGAGAUGUUUAACAGGAACCAACUGGCCCGUAAAGUCCCGCU
rnacentral:pre_miRNA from 1 species